rnacentral:rRNA from 1 species
UCGAGGAUCUUUAGCAAUGCCCGAAAGGGUGACUAUGCGACGCCGCGUGUGGGAUGAAGGCCUUCGGGUCGUAAACCACUGUCAGGGAGGAAGAAACCUUACGUGUUAACAGCGCGUAAGCUGACAUCACUCCCAAAGGAAGCCACGGCUAGCUCUGUGCCAGCAGCCGCGGUAAGACAGAGGUGGCAAGCGUUGUUCGGAUUUAUUGGGUGUAAAGGGUCCGUAGGUGGUCUAACAAGUCUGAUGUGAAAUCCCAUGGCUCGACCGUGGAACUGCAUUGGAAACUGUUGGACUUGAGUACCGCAGAGGUAAAGGGAAUUCCCGGUGUAAGGGUGAAAUCUGUAGAUAUCGGGAGGAACACCAGUGGCGAAGGCGCUUUACUGGGCGGUUACUGACACUGAGGGACGAGAGCAAGGGGAGCAAACAGGAUUAGAUACCCCUGUAGUCCCUGAGCGGGCUGGCAAGGCGCAU